UAUAAGUGAACUGCAGGCUUUCGGGAUCGCGGCCAAUAGGGAGCGAGGGGGCGGAGAUGCACCUGGAGAGUCACCGCCUCCAGUAGGAAAGCAGGGAAUCAGAGCGGCUUCUUCCUAAACGACAGGUAGCGCGGCCAAUCGCUUUUGAGAUGCACAGAUGGGGCAGGUGGCGGCACAACCAAUGGCAAGAGGCACUUCGGAAGGACUAGGCUCCUUGCCCAAUGAAGCUAGGAAGACCGUGCGGGUUUGUCCGGAGCGGCAGUACUUAAGGCCAACCCAGUGUGGGGCUGGGCGGGGCGCACCGCUGAACGACGAGGGGAUUGGCCAAUGGCGAGUACGAAAGCCGGCCGCCCAGACCGGGAACGCCGAGGGAGCUGAGGAAGGGGAGGCCGAACGGGAGAGAAGCAGGAAGUAGCGGCGGCGGCGGGGAGGGCUGCGGUGGCGGCGGCGGCGGCGGCAGCGGCCGGGGCAGGGGAGGGACCGCCAGCGCUCAGCCCGCACUAGGAGCCAAACAAGUCUGGGACUUGCCGCCAUGGGAGACAUGAAAACCCCUGAUUUUGACGACCUCCUUGCCGCCUUUGACAUCCCCGACAUUGAUGCCAAUGAGGCCAUCCACUCUGGGCCGGAAGAAAAUGAGGGGCCAGGAGGCGCGGGGAAGCCAGAACCCGGUGCAGAGGGUGAGCCUGGAGAAGCAGCAGCAGCAGCUGGAGAUGGCCCUGGCGUCUCAACCCAGGCCUCUGAUCACGAUCUGUCGUCGGGGGACAUCUCAGUCGUCAGCGUCAUUGUCAAGAACACUGUGUGCCCUGAGCAGUCUGAGUCCCUGGUUGCAAGUUCAGGAGGGGAAGGGGCCCGGGCUGGGGGUACAAUUAAGGAAGAACCUGUGGGGCCUCAUCUGAUGCAGAAUGGUUUUGGGGGCCCUGAGCCAUCCCUUCCAGGAAACCCCCACUCUCCAACUCCUCCCAGUGGAGGUACCUGGAAAGAAAAAGCCAUAGAAGGCAAAGCAACUUUGGACCUCUUCGCUCAUUUUGAGCCUGAGCCAGGGGAGCACCCUGAUCCCCUGCCUUCCUCUGUGCCCUCCCCACUGACGGAAGGGACCAUGACCCCCCCUCCUUUCCCCUCUCCCUUUGAGCUGGCUGAGGAGAAUGGCCCCCCACUUCUGCCACCUGGUUCUCCCCCACCGCUGGGCGCUCUGAAGCAGGGCAGCGGCAGCCCCCUUCAUCCCCAGGGCAUAGCCCGGUUAGACUCAGGCUCUAGCCCUGAGGCUGCAGGCAUCCCUGCCAGCCCCUCACCUCCCCAGGUUGCUGGGAUGCCCUUCUUCAAGCAAUCUCCAGGGCAUCAGAGCCCUCUUGCCUCCCCCAAAGUGCCCAGCUGUCAGCCCCUAAAGGAGGAAGAAGAGGAUCAGGGGCCAGUGGACAAGUCUCCCCCAGCAAGUCCCCAGAGCCCUUCUAGUGGAGCUGAGGCUGCUGACGAGGACAGCAAUGACUCCCCUGCCUCCUCCAACUCUUCCAGGCCCCUCAAGGUGCGGAUCAAGACCAUUAAGACAUCCUGUGGGAAUAUCACAAGGACUGUAACCCGGGUCCCUUCAGACCCUGGUCCCCCUGCCCCCUUGGCCGAGGGGACCUUUCUAGCCGAGGCUAACCUCCUAAAGCUGUCCUCUGCGGUUCUGACUCCUGAGAGUCCGAAAGUGGUGAACGUGCAUUUGGGUGACGGCACGAGGCUGAAGGGCACGGUGCUGCCUGUGGCCACCUUCCAGAACGCAAGCACUGCCAUGCUGAUGGCGGCCAGCGUGGCCCGCAAAGCGGUGGUUCUGCCUGGGGGCACUGCCACCAGUCCUAAGACAAUUGCUAAGAAUGUGCUGGGACUGGUGCCCCAAGCCCUGCCCAAGGUCGAGGGGCGGAUAGGGCUGGGGAUAGGGGGACAGAAGGUGAACGGUGCCUCGGUGGUGAUAGUGCAGCCUUCCAAGCCGACCACCGUGCCAGGUGCCGGGGGCGGCACAGUGAUCUCACGGACCCAGUCCAGCCUGGUGGAGGCCUUCAACAAGAUCCUCAACGGCAAGAACCUGCUGCCUGCCUACCGGCCGAACCUGAGUCCACCUGCCGAGGCCGGGCUGGCCCUGCCUCCAACGGGCUACCGCUGCCUCGAGUGUGGCGAUGCCUUCUCGCUGGAGAAGAGCCUGGCGUGGCACUAUGACCGCCGGAGCAUGCGCAUCGAGGUCACCUGCAACCACUGUGCCCGCCGCCUGGUCUUCUUCAACAAGUGCAGCCUGCUGCUGCACGCCCGGGAGCACAAGGACAAGGGGCUUGUCAUGCAGUGCUCACACCUGGUCAUGAGGCCUGUAGCCCUGGACCAGAUGGUGGGGCAGCCGGACAUCACGCCCCUGCUGGCUGUCCCAUCUGCCCUCGGACCUCCAGUCUUAUCUGCCUUGGGCAAGGGUGAUGGGGCCAUCGCCACCUUCGCCAUUUCUACAGUUGCUGCUGAGGCCCCUGUGCUGCCGCUCUCGGCUGAGCCACCUGCUGCCCCUGCCACCUCUGCUUACACGUGCUUUCGCUGCCUGGAGUGCAAGGAGCAGUGCCGGGACAAGGCUGGCAUGGCUGCCCACUUCCAGCAGCUUGGGCCCCCUGCCCCUGGGGCCACCAGCAAUGUGUGCCCAACCUGCCCCAUGAUGCUCCCCAAUCGCUGCAGCUUCAGUGCCCACCAGCGCAUGCAUAAGAAUCGACCUCCCCACGUCUGCCCUGAGUGUGGGGGCAACUUCCUGCAGGCGAAUUUUCAGACCCAUCUCCGGGAGGCCUGUCUGCACUUCUCUCGCCGUGUAGGAUACAGGUGCCCCAGCUGUGCAGUGGUGUUUGGGGGUGUGAACUCCAUCAAGUCCCACAUCCAGACGUCACACUGCGAGGUUUUCCACAAGUGCCCCAUCUGCCCCAUGGCCUUCAAGUCUGCACCCAGCGCCAACGCCCACCUCUACACCCAGCAUCCCAGCUUCCCCACGCAGCAGGCCAAGAUGAUCUACAAGUGCGCCAUGUGUGACACGGUCUUCACUCACAAGCCCCUCCUCUCCUCACACUUCGACCAGCACUUGCUGCCCCAGCGCGUCAGUGUCUUCAAGUGCCCGUCUUGUCCUCUGCUUUUUGCCCAAAAAAGGACCAUGCUGGACCAUCUCAAGAACACCCAUCAGUCUGGUCGCUCGGGAGAGGAGACUGCUGGGAAAGGGGCCGGGGAUACUCUUCUGACCCCUAAAGCUGAGCCUGAGGAGCUGGCUGUGUCUCCGGGAGGAGCAGCUCCCCCUAUAGAGGAGCUGUCUUCCUCUACAGAAGAGGACCCACCCAGCUCCCCAGAGCCUCCUUGUCCACCCAAACGGCCCCGGCGGGAUCUAGGGAACAAAGGCACCAAGGGUGGGGGCGGGGGCCCUGGAGGCUGGACCUGUGGCCUUUGUCACUCCUGGUUCCCGGAGCGGGAUGAGUAUGUGGCUCACAUGAAGAAGGAGCAUGGCAAGUCAGUGAAAAAGUUUCCCUGUCGCCUAUGUGAGCGAUCCUUCUGUUCUGCGCCCAGCCUGAGGCGCCACGUCAGGGUCAAUCAUGAGGGUAUCAAGCGAGUUUACCCAUGCAGGUAUUGCACGGAAGGAAAACGCACCUUCAGCAGCCGCCUCAUCCUGGAGAAACACGUCCAGGUGCGGCACGGCUUGCCGCUCGGCGACCAGUCUCCUGGCCGGGGGAGUGUUGUGGUUCGGGGCGCCGGUGCCAGAGCCCAGCCCACGUGGGACCAGGAGGACGGGACUUCUAGGCCUGCUAGACAGGUCCAAGAAGAGACCAGUGUCCGCAGUCACACUCCACAGCCCCUGCAGGCGGACUUCAGGCCUGGCCCUGCCCUAGCACCACCCCUUACAUUCCCUGGCACUCAAGCCCCCCACCCCUACAGUGCCUUUCACUUGUUUUUCCCCCCACCCCCAGAAAUCCAGGGGGGUUGGUAGGGAUGAGUCCUGUCAAGGGGGCCCAGGGAGAGUUGGGGACAGGCUCUCAGGAAUCCUUUAUUCUUGUAGUAAUAAUACUAACAGUGGGGGAAAUGGGAAGGAGAAACCCAGACCAUUAAAACUGCUUGUGGUUUAAUCCCCAUUCAGGCUCUUUUUGAUGUGACUUGGACAAUGUAGACUUACUUGAUGGAGGGGGGUGAGAGUCAAAUCUAGGGAGGCCUUUCUCUGGGAAAAAGUGGUACUGACGGAGACAGGUAGGGAAAAAGCAGUCUUCCUCCACCUUGUUCUGUGUGGUACAUCUAUUCACUUACAUUCACCCCCACCCCCCCAAAAAAAUACAACUCAGAAAUGACACAUGGCUAACUAAGGACUUUAUUUCAAACAAAAAUUAAAAAAUUGAGAGCUAUUUCCCUGGAUGUGGGAAGGGAUCAGGGCAAGGAAUUCCCUGUGGCUAGGCCAGUUCCCUCUGUAGGGGAGGGGUUGUGAUAACCCUCCUGGUCUCUGUGAUGGGGACUCAGCAAGGGCAGGACCCUGUGCCAGAGCCCACCUGCCAAGGGGACCUCAGGCUAGGAGUCAGUCCUGGGAGGAACAGUCAGGCAGCAGCAUGGCCAAAGGCGAACCACAGGAUCAAAUUGUAAGUACCAAGAACCCACUCUUCCCCUUCCUGGGACCUAGAACAGAUUAAGAAGAUGGCCUGUGGGAAGAACCUCUUGGACCCUGGCGAGAAGAAAGGCCCAGUGCCCUCACAUUUGUCACCUCUCUCCUCUGGGGGGCAGUGAGUCCUGGGGUCCCUCAGGUGGUAAUACUGACACCGCAGGGGGCAGGGAAGCCCCAGCAAGCCUGGACCCCACAGCUGGCUCUCCCCUGACAAGCUCUCCAGUCACCACAUGAUCCUUUGUAUUUCUUGCCUUCCAUUUCCCGUGGGUGGGUGGGUGUUUCCUGGUUUGGGGUUUCUCCCAGGGAGGGUCCCCUGAAUGCCCCACCGCGCUGGGGCCUGAGAGGGUGUCACAUGAUGCCGUUGGUGAGGUACUGGAAGCCAUCGUAGAGCUUGGUGGUGAUGGACCGCAUGCUGCCGUCCACCAUCUGCUCCACCAGCAGCUGCAGUUGCUCCUCGGUCAUGCUCAUGUGGAACCUCUCCUUGAGGUUGCGGAUGGUGCUGGAGCCGUGGAAGCAAGGGAGCUGAGAACCUGGGGGCAGGAAGGGCAGGGUCAUGGGCGGAAAGGAGGGAGGGCCAGUGGUAACAGCCACAGCAAGGCCUUAGAGACCCCUGAGCAUGUGGAUGCAGUUCUGCUUGCACCCAUCCUCAUGCCGUACUCCAACACCCUCUAUAGGUGAGGGCAUGAGGGCAGAGGAGGGCAGGGGCCAACACCACCUCUCCCCCAGAAAUAGCUGAGUGGGCAGAGUCUUAGGACCCAGAGGAAGGCUGGGAAUGGGCCCUGAGCUGGGCACUUAUCUGGUUUGCAGGGCUCUGCCUAUGCUACGUCUGACACUCACAGAUGACCUGGGCCACCGUCGUCAUGGGGCCAGACAGGGGUGCUCCUGAGCAACGGCGACAACCUGUGGGGUGAGGGUGGGGUGGGGAGGAGGAGGAGACUGGCUGCUCAGAAUGGGUGUAUACUGCACCCCUAAGGAGUGGGGUUAGGACAAGGGCCCAGAAGGCUGGGAGUAAAGGGACAAAAGACUAGAUGACGCAGUGAGGAUAGGACAGUGCGAAUGGAUAGGUGACAGGUGAGGAACUACUCAUCUCAGAGCAGGAGGGAUGAGUAUCGGGACAAAGACGGGGCCUGAGGACAGGGCAAUUGGAGGUCAAAGCCCAGCGGGGAGGAAAGUGGUGACUGGAAACACCUGAGCUGGUGAAGAGCUGAGUGGUGGGAGGGACCAAGAGGCUGGAGAUGAGACUCCUCUCUGAGGAGGUAGUUUCUGGGGCCUCCACCCGUCCAUCCCCAGGACCUAGCUCUGUCAGGAGGCAUGUCCCAAAGGAGAAACGGCACUGGGUCAGAGCUGGGAACCUCUGCCUGCCUGGUGUCUUGAGGUAGAACGUACUUCCUAGAAAUUCCAUGCUGGGCACAGCCCUGUCCCCACACCUGCCUCGCCCCAGCCCCACCUUGCUGCAUGAUCUCCACGAUCUGCACCACCUUGUCCAUGUGUUUCCGAGCAGCAAUCAGCCCCUGUAGCAUCAGCAUCUUGUAGUAGUUGAACAUGUCACCAUCCAGGCCGCCCAUGACCUGUGAGGGGAGGAGAAAGUUGUAGGUAUAAGGGCUCAGCGUACCCCCAGCCAGAACUCCCUCCAUUAGGGCAAACAUGCCAAACCCCACUACUUCCCAACUCUCUCAGCAGGCAGGAAGCCUCCCAGGACACCAGCCUCACCCUGACUUACUGCCAUUUCUGUUCUGUUUGUCCGUAAUUUGGGGGGAGCCCACUCCCAUGACAGAGAAAGAACACAGUGAGGCACCUCUCCUUCCUGACUCACGUCCACAAACUCUGUGGUCAGCUUAAAGGCUGACGUCUCAAAGCCCAGGUUUCGGGGAGAGCUGGACAGGAUGAAACCGAAGUCAAUGUGGAUGAUGUGGCCCUCUGCGUCCAAAAGGAUGUUCCCAUUGUGUCUGAGGGGGGCAAAGGAGAGGAAGAGGCAGUAUAAGUCAGUGUGAGGUGGCAGCCUCAAGCUGAAACACUGGCCACAUGACACCAGGCGGGGAAGUCCCCUGCCAUGUUUCCUGCUGCCUAUAACUCAGUCCAACCUGCGGCCUAAAGCAGCAACAGAAACGGGAAAUCGGGCACGUAAGCUGCUAACAGUCUGAAAUCGCUUUUACUGACAACUUAAUAGUUUAAGAUUGUAAUUCUAUCACCCAAACUGAUCCCAACCUAGUAGAAAACCCAGAAGCAAGGGAAGAAAGCCUCUGAGGCUCCCACCAGCUGUCACAGAGGCCAAGCAGUUGGCUCAGGGGCCUCAAUCAGAACCGUUUUACCUGUGAGCCCCACCAGAAGGGAGUGGCAGGCUGGGAAGAGUUUAAAUGUAAAAUAAUGUGGGGGCUUCAAGGGCGAGUUCUAACUACCUGAUAAGUCACCCCAGUAAGAAAUGAUGAGCCAGCUGCAGGAAGAAGAGAGUAAAGAUGAGUCCAGGUCCGUGACCCCGACAUGAAUAACGAGCAGGAGGAGGAACAAUGAACAUGCUAAGCAUGUGAGGCCUGGCCCAUUCAGGAUAACCAGCCUCAGUGUCAACAGUGGCUUUGUUAGGCUGAGCUCCAGGUCUGAGGCCACCUUCUCCAGGGUUGGUCUGAGUGGCCAAAAAGGAGGGACAGAAAGAGAGCCAGUCCCACCUGAGUCCUUUAUACUCUGGGAAGCACUACAAAUUUAGCCAUAAAGGCACACUCUCAUUUUACAGGUGAGGAAACACCUUGAGAGAAGGUCCCGAGCAUGAGGGGCUCUCUGACAGCGGGAGAUGGCUGGGCCCUCAUUCUGAAGCAGUUAAAGAUCCUAACCCGCUUCCACUGCGGAGCCUUGGGCAGUGUUGCCAGUUCCUCCCACUGGCUGAUUCCAUUCAGGGCUUGACUACAUCUAUUCUUUUUUGAGUUACUAUUAAACGUUUCUCAGCUGCCUGUUCCCCUCUCCCCCUUUUUUAAAGGAUGAACUCUGACCUUCCAAAUAUCUUCCUGAAGGAAAGCCACAGGCCUGACCAGCACCUGCUUCCCUGCCCCCAUUUACUCAAACCUGCGGCUCAGUUCUAGGCUGUGCCCUCGAUUCAAAACCCUGACUCUUAGGGACAGUCUAAAGUUACUAAUGUUGUGGCCCCACCCCAUAACAAAGAAACAGAAUUUCCGGAGGAUGAGGCCCAGAAAUCAGGAUUUUAAAAAGAUUCCCAGGUGAUUCUAAUGUGCAGCUAAGAUUGAGAACCACUGGUCUAAAGCUCGUAAACAAAUUCCUUAUAAACAAUUACAUGUUCCUUCAGCCCUCAAAUGUAAAGCCUCCACGGGACUCAUUUGUAGGGCUGACCAGAUGGAGUGAGCGCAGGUUCUGAAAGCUCUGACCGCCAGUCCCCUCAUAGGAAACACCUGUCUGACUGUUUUCAGCUGGUUUCAAUAAAGCACGUCAGGCUGCAGCAUGCACUUACUAGUAAUAGAUGCUAGCUUUCUGACAAGCUGCUCUGCUGGCUAGAUCCUAAAGUGCUACCAUGUCCGGGAGCUCUGAAAGCUCAGGCCACUGUAUUUCUGCCUUCCUAGGGCAGCUGCCCAUGCCUGUGAGGUGCAACUCACAGGAGCAUUCAGGAUGCAGACCCUGAGUCACGUCUGGGUGGAAUUAUUUUUGUACGCUGUGUUGUUCACCUAUGUGGGAAGCUGGGCCUCAGAACGGUCAUGUGAUACUGGAAAUGGCAGCUCUGGGGAAAGCAAUAAAUACUUCAACGUUUUGAAAAUUGUAUGUUGGAAUAAAAGGAGAUUUCAGGGUUGGGAGUUUCAACUCUAUCUCCACCAUGCCUCUCAUAUCUAUCUUCUCCUUUCUGCUCUCAGUCACUACCACCUCCCUCGGGUCAGGACUCAUUACCUCCUGCUUUGUUGCUUAAAGGCCUAACUAGACCCAACCUCACUCAGUACCACAGGGUGCACUCAGUAAACAAAGACGGGGUCAUGUCAUUCCUCACCUGCCAAGUACAGUCCCUCAGCCUCACUGUGCAGGUGCUUCUAGUCUGGCCUCUGCUCACCUGUCUGACAUCCCUGCUAUUCUGCCAGGCCGCAAAGCCCAAACUUUUAUUAAAAUUUGUAAUUUUUGUUAUUUAUUGAUUCUAGAGAGAGAAGAGGGAGAGAAAGGGGGUCGGGGGAGAGAGGAUUCAUUGGUUGAUUCUUGUAUGUGGUCUGACUGGGGAUCGAACCCACAACCUUGGAGUAUUGGGACAACACUCUAACCAGCUGAGCUCCCCGGUCAGAGCCAGGAGCCCAGGUGUUACUCACACUGACUUAUUCCUCUGGACUCUGUGUCCUUCCCCCACAGCUUCCUCUGCCCUCGUUCUCCUGCAUCCUUUUAAGAGCCUGCUCAUUCAAACCCUUGCUUCUCCCCAUAAAUCCUUCAUAUCUCGCUCCUUUACCCUAGUACUUGUCAGUCUGUCUCUUUGGCUUAAUGGCACGUGAACAUGUCUAUCUCUGCUUAAAACAUGUUGUUUGUCUCAUCUUUUACGUCUUGGCAGUGGAAGGUCGUGGUGAGUAUACGAAAACUACACGUGAAAGGACAGAGAUAACCCUGGAAAAAAGGUUAGGAUGAGGGUCAGGAAUUUACCUACCUGUCCUUGACUUGCAGCAGGUAGCAGACCAAGCAGUAGCCAGCGCAACUUUGCACGAAAUUGCGCUGGGCACUGAGGAAUGCCUCAGUGGUGUAACUGCCAUGCUCCUGAAGGAAGUAAUCGAGCAAGGAGAGCUGUGACUGUUUCUUCACCUGGUGGAUGGACACAGCGUUGACCACGGGUUCAAUCAUGCCACUGUCAGCCGAAAUCACAAGAAUCUUGUAUGGCUUGAUCCACAGCGGCACUCGCUCCUGUUCCCAAAUGGACUGUGAGGAGACACGGGACCAUCAUCUUUCAUUCAAGUUGGGGGAGGGGCGAAAAGCCCUCUAUCCCUAACCUUGGAAGUUCCCAGCCCUGGUGGCCUUGGAUUCUAGUCCAUCAACUGUUUCAGCACCUGGAAGGCCAGCAGCUCCUGCCGAAGAUCAUCCCCGCACUUGACAAUGACUGACAGGAGCCGCCAAUUGGGGAGAUGGCCAUAGGGAGAGCCCUCUCUGAUCCGCCUGCAUAAAGAGAAGCAAAAUGUGUCAAGAGGUGAUGACAGAGACACAGCUUCUACCAAAAAUCCAAAUCCAACUCCCCAUAAGGCAAGGACUGGGGCUGCCUGGGGGCAUGAUGGAUUUGGGGGGAGCCCAGUGGACACUGGAUGGUGCAGUGAGUUCCUGCAGUUGUCUCCAAGCUUUGAGACGUCUAGAGACAGCUGCCUCCCACCCAACUCACCGCACUUUCUCCUGCCAGGGCUCUUUGAGAGCAACUGCAGAAGGGUCUUCUGGGUCUCGUUUGAAGGCUGUGGGGGUGUGAGCCAGCUGCUCCGAAAGGCGCCGUCUAGCAGGAAGAAAUGGUAUCAUUUGCUUGGAGGAGUUACCCCAGAGCCUCAUGUCCCUGUCUGUGGCAGCACUGCCUGCACUAUUUCCUUGAUUCUAGGCACAGAGAGAAACCUGGGUUGAGAGACUCGUGGAGGACACAGGCCACUGAUACCUUUUUGCUAACCUGAUGGUAUGGAAUCAUGAUAAUCACCAGGCCCUCCCAUUCCUCUACCAAGAUUCUGGUUCAAAACAGCUGUGGCUCCAGCAUCUGCAUUUUCAACAAGAUCUCUCCGAUUCUGACAUGUGAAUCCUUGGACCCACUCUGAGAAACGCUGCUUUAAUUCCUCCCUCUGCUGCUUUCAUCCCUUUGGAGACCUUUUAACAUUUAAUUUCUUUCUGUAGUAGCCUAGUAAUUUCUCCACCUGCCCCUUCACUGCCUCAAGUUUGGUGGCCUCAGAACAAGGACAGAGUAAAGAGAGAGGAAAGGGAAAGACACAGGCUGACAGAAGAGGAGAAAGAGACAGGCAGAGCCUUAAAGAGGGAUGAAAAAUGAGAGGCAGUGUGGUCUGGCCAUACCGGAUGUCCCCUGCUGCAAUGAACACAGGCUCCUUGCUCUCCUGGCUGGUGAUGCUGUCCACAGAGAACUGGGAGAUGUUGUCACAGCUGUUGGUGUGCACUUCAGGGAGCUGGGGAGAGCAGGGAAUGGUAGGUCAGAAGCGCUAGGCACAGGUCUCGCUUCUUUCACCUCCUCCACAGAUCACCUGGAGUGUUUUCUAUUUGCAGAUUAUGAUCAUUCCCCUCUUCCUAAGUCUGCUCCAAAAACCCUCCCCUGGUUACAUAUCAUCCUGAUCACUUGGACCCCAAACUGCCGAGGCACUCACAUAGGCCCUUCAGUGGUGUUUCUCAAACAUCUGAAUGCUACUAAAACCAUAUUCCCAUAUGGAACCAUCAAUCUGGAUUAAAAUUACUGGGAAUGGA